UAAUAAGCAAUAAAUGAUGAAUAAUGAAUAGAACACAAUAAAUCUGAGCAAUAAAUGAGAUAACGAGACCAAUAGAGUGUGUUACAAAGCAGAGAGAAUGUUCUAGUAUAUGUAGUAUGGAGUAACAUAUGUUUACAAAAUGACAAGGAUCCCCUUUAUAUAAGAGGGGGAAUCCCAACAUAGAACAAGUGCAUUUAUUACAAAGAUAUGGAGAUGGAAGACCUAGUUAAUGCCACGAUACAGGCUUAGACUAGCCUGUCAAAAUUUGUUGGCUCUAGCUUCAUGCCUUGGAAACUCCCCAUUUUCUUCCUGUAACCGUCGGUCUCAUACUGUACCAAGGUCGAGUGUCGAUGGUUCUCGAGGGAUGAAACUCGAUCGUGAUUUCGAGCCUUCGAGGUGUCAUAACGAUGGAAAAUUGUACCCUCCGAUUUUACCAUAUACAGCUCUGCUUUCCAAUUCUCCUCCAUGAUCACUUUGGAUUGUUGUAAUCAGAUAUCCCUCUUCUCUUUCAACCUUUUUGCAGAAGAUCUCAAAAAUAUUCAAAGCUUAAUCUUUAUGAGAGAGGAAAAUCACCUAAGUGAAACGUGAAUAAUCAUCAAUAAUAACAAAAGAAUAUCUUUUUCCUCCUAUACUAGCAGUUCUAGUAGGCCCAAAUAAAUCCAUAUGAAUUAAUUGCAACGGUUUAGAAGUAGAUACAAUAUCUUUAUUUUUGAAAGAGUUUCUGGUUUGUUUUCCUAUUUGACAGGCAUCACAGAUAUGUGUUCUAGAAAAAUUCAGUUUGGGUAGACCAAUAACUAACUCAUGCUUGGACAAUUUUUCUAUCAAAUGCAUGCUUGCAUGACCAAGUUUCCUAUAUCAUAACCAUGGAUCAUCAGACAUGGAUGUUAAGCAAAUGUGACCAUCUAUCUUUUCAAAACCAUCAAAAAUAUAAACAUUUCCAUACCUUUUACCUCGGAGGACUAUUUUACCUUUCUCAUCUUAAAUAGCACAGCCUGUUUUCUUAAAAUUUACCACAUAUCGUGAGUCACAUAGUUGACUUAUUCUUAGGAGAUUAUAGUUGAGUGUCACACCUCGAACCUAGGGGGCGAGAUCGGCACCCAGUGCCUCAUCUAUCCUUGCAUACCAACUUGCGACUAAGGGACUCUGAAUAUAUAAUGUCACACUUUGGCCAUGGGACACAUUGCGAGACAAUUGCAAAUACUAACUAAACAACAAUAUAAUUCUGGGCCGACAAGGCCGUCAUAACUACUACAGCUGGCAAAUCAACAAAAUAUUCAUAAAAGGCCUACAAGCCAACAUACUGCACUAACUGACAGGAUAUGUCUACAAGCAUCUACUGAUGGAUAUAUUGUGAUAGGAACAACUCCCUAACCUACUCAUAACUUAUAUACAUAUAUAUACAAAAUGUACAUAAGGCUCUCGACCCGGAAACUCCGAAAGGCAUGGAGCUUACUGAUCAAGCUGAACUCGGAUAACACUUAUUGAAGAGGCCUACCCAUCUGUCUAUCUGACCUGCACGCAUGAAAUGAAGCGCCCCCAGAAAAGGGACGUCAGUACGAAAUAAUGUACUGAGUAUGUAAGGUAAUAUACUGAAAGAUGAAAAGCGAUUUUUAGCUGUUUCGUGAUGGGAUAAAGUAGAAGGAGAAAGAGUUGGCACAGAAGGUUGAAGAGCUAAAAGAGCGGGAUGAAGAGGUAAUGAAGGCCAUUGGCCGAAAUAGUUAACUUGAGGCGGACAUUAAGGCCUAUGAGGAUAAGUUUGAGGUGAGCAAGGGGGUGAUGGCCGAGAAUGCCGACCUUCAGGCACGGGUGGCCACCUUGACUGCUGAGCUUGGUCGAAGAGAGGCAGAGGUUGUUGAUCUUAGGGGAGAACUAAGCGUUAAGGAUGAUGAAUUGGUUCAUGCUAAAAAGGGUAGGGUGACUGCUGUUUUUGAGGUAGUGGCUCUGGAGGAUGCCCUUUGGGUUUGUAGGUCUGAGCAUGACAAUGAGAUGGAGACGUCAGCGCUCAAGGUAGUGAGGUUGGAGGAAGGAAUCCAAGAUCUGGAGGCGGAGUUGCCCGUGUUGAACGAACAGGUUGUCACUUUGAAGGAGGAGGAGGUGCGAUGGUAGUCACAACCUUCCAUGUCUCAUACUUCAGUUGAUCCCGUCGUGCCGCAGGAGUUGUAUGAGAUGUGGGUCCAUGUCGAGGUCCAACUUGAAGUGUACAAGUCCCUACAGGCUAAUGGGAAGGUGUCUUAGGCAUAGCUCGAGGGUGUUCGUGUUAAAGCACGUGCAACCCGUAAAGCCUAUGGUUAUGAUCCUGAUACACCUGGCGGGGAUGACGUCGAUGACGAUGAUGAUGCGGACAUGCUUGCCUCUGAUUCUUGGUAUAACGAGGAGUAUGUCAUGGGGGAUGAUGCAGCGUAGGGCUGUUGUAUUUAUUUUGUUUUGCUUUGCUAUUUUUGUGAGGGCGUUUUUGAGCCCUUUGUAAAAAGUUUUUGUAAUACAACAGUUGUAAUGGAAUGAUCACCUUUUUGUUGUGCACUUUCAGAUUGUUAUUUAUUUGCUUUGAUGGGGUUACCGGCUUUCCCGCCGCCUGUGUAUAAUUGUUUUGGCAUAGUUGAUUGUAGGUCUUGGUAAUUCGGGCGAGAUUGAGUGUUUAACUAAUUCGGGCAAGGUCGAAUGUUAAGUAUUUCGAGCGAGGUUGAAUGUUACGUAAUUCGAGCGUGGUCGAAUGUUAAGUAAUUCAAGCGAGGUCGAAUGUUACGUAAUUCCAGCGAGGUUGAAUGUUACGUAAUUCAAGCGAGAUAGAAUGUUAAGCCAUUCAAGCGAGGUCAAAUGUUUUCUUUUGGCGAUGGCCUUUGGCUGUAGAGGUGUUAUUUCGAGUUAGGGUCGAAAUGUUAACCUGUUGCAAUUUGAGAGAGGUCGAAUGUUUUCUUUUGGCGAUGGCCUUUGGCGGUAGAGGUGUUAUUUUGAGUUAGGGUCGAAAUGUUAACCUGUUGUAAUUCGAGCGAAGUCGAAUAUUUUCUUUUGGCGAUGUCUUUUUGCCGUAGAGGUGUUAUUUUGAGUUAGGGUCGAAAUGUUAACCUAUUGUAAUUCAAGAGAGGUCGAAUGUUAAGAUGCAAAAGAAAAUGAUGGAGGGUAAAAUGUUGCUUUAUUUCACUUCGUUGGAGAAUAUCUUGAUGGAGUACAAAAUGUAUCUUGAUGGAGUACAAAAUGCUGCUUUAUUCCAUUUACUGGAGUAUUAUACAUGUCUGUUUCGUACAUAUGUUGGGGAAGUUUUCAUGUAUCUUGUCUCUUCAUCGUUCUUACUAGAGAGGUUGUCGGCAGGCGGGGUAAUGAAUUAUACUUUGAACUUCGAGACGUCCCCCUCGUUGCCUCGUUAAAAACCUCCUCGAGAAAUACCAAUUCGGACAAAACCUGGGUGAGGGAAAAAAGUAUGACUUGAGGGGCAUCCUCUUCAGAAGUUGAAGUAUUUGAGGUGGGCGACAUUCCAGUUAUUUUGUAGUAGUUUCCCUUCCAUUGUUUCUAGUUGGAAUGCUCUUUUGCUUGCUUCCGUUGUGAUUUUGUACGGCCCGUACCAAUUGGUUCCUAGUUUGCCUUCUCUUGGGUCUUUGUUUGCUUGUGUUUUGGCUUUUGAGAACAUAGUCUCCGACUUUGAGUGGUCGUAUUUUGGCCUUCUUGUUGUAGUACCUUUUUGCUUGUUGUUUUUGGGUUACCAUCCUUACGUAAGCCAUGUAUCUUCGUUCUUCUGCCUCGUCGAGGUCUUGUCUUUUGUUCUCGUCAUUGUUUGAUCCGCUUUCGUUGGAGUAUCUCAGGCUAGGUUCUCCGACCUCAACAAGUAUCAUGGUGUUAGUUCCGUAGACUAAUGAAUAUGGCGUUUCGCUGGUGCUUGUUUUUUGCGUGGUGCGAUAGGCCCAUAAUACCGUCGGUAGAAACUUCGGCCAUAGCCCUUUGGUGUCCUCAAGCUUUUUCUUUAAGAUAUUCAAUAUGGUUUUGUUGGAGGAUUCAUCUUGACCAUUGUCAGCGGGAUGAUAUGGCGUGAAGAGUAUUCGUUUGAUGCGUCAUUUUUCAAAGAACUCGAUCGUCUUUUUCUCUGUGAAAUGGGGUUCGUUAUCGCAUCUGAUUUCUUUGGGGAUGCCGAAGCAGCAUAUGAUGUUCCUUCAUAUGAACGUGAUGAUUUCAUGUUCACGUAUCUGGGCAAACGCACUUGCUUCCACCCAUUUGGAAAAGUAGUCAGUUAAAACUAAAAGGAAAUACAUCUUACCUCACCCUGCUGGGAGGGGUCUGAUGAUGUCCAUUCCCCAUUCAAUGAAUGGUCAUGGCGAGGUGACAGAGUGGAGGUGUUCGCCCGCUUGAUGUAUCAUAGGCGCAUACUUUUGGCACUGCUCGCAUUUCUUGACAUAAUCUACGACUUCCUUUUUCAUAGUGGACCGGUAAUAUCCUACCCGAAUGAGGCAUCUAACGAGGGCUUGGUUGCCUGUAUGGGCACCACAGUGGCCUUCGUGUACUUCUUCGAGAACGCGCCUGUCUAACUCGACCCUAGUCAUUUCGCUAAGGGCCCCCAAAUGUUCUGAUGUACAGGUCGUGAUUUACGAUGUUGUACCUGGCCGCUUGCAUUCGAAGCUUUUUGGCUUCCUUUUUGUCUUGUAAGAGUGUUCCCUCCUGCAAAUAUGUCAUGAUGCGGUUGCGCCAGUCCCAAGUCAAAUUUAUGGAAUGUACCUCGAGUUAGUCUAUUGACAAGUGGCGGAGGGUGACCACGUUUUCUUUAGUGAUAUUUUUGGUGGCAGCUGCUAGUUUGGCGAGGCCGUCCACCUUGAUGUUUUGAGCUCGGGGUAUCUGGUCGAGUCAGCAUUCAUCGAAUUCCUGCAGUAGUUUGUAAAUUUCUGCCUGGUACUUUUAUAGCCUUUGUUCUUUGAUUUGGAAAUUUCAUGUGACUUGGUUAAAGACGAGUUGUGAGUCGCAUCUGAGGAUGACUCGCCGUGGUCCAUACUUGAGAGCUAGCUUUAACCCUGCAAUCGGGGAACCGUAUGGACUGGCGCAUAACUUCCCCUUUUGGGACCUCGAGUACGAGUCCCAAUACCGAUCCUAACGCAUUGGAUAUGCCAUCGGUGUAUAGAACCCAAAGGUUGGGUUGCCCAGGGGAGGUACAAAAAGCUUCCUGCUCGACCUCGGGCAUUAUUUUGGCGCUAAAAUCGGCGACAAUGUCGGUGAGUACUUGCAAUUUUAUCGAUGUUCGCGGCUGAUAUGUUAUAUCAUGCUCGCUUAGUUCGAUGGCCCACUUGUCCAGUCUUCCCGACAAUUCGGGUUUAUGUAGGAUGCUCCGUAGAGGUAAGGUCGUCACCACCGAUAUAGGGUGGCAUUGAAAAUAGGGUCUAAGCUUUCGUGAAGCUAUAACCAGUACUAUGACCAACUUCUCGAGUUGGGGGUACCUUAUUUCGGCAUCGACCAGGGUUUUGCUAAUAUACUAAAUCGGAGAUUGUGUACCUUUGUGCUCGCAAAACAGCACCGCGGUUAACGCAACUUCUGAGAUGGCCAAGUACACUAAGAGGCGCUUGCCGAGCUCUACUUUGGCAAGUAGUGGUGGUGAGGACAAAUAUGCCUUUAGUUCUCUCAAGGCAUCAAUGUAUUCUGAAUUCCACUGGAGUCUGUUAUCUUUUUUUAGCAUGUUGAAGAAUUUAUGGCAUAUAUCGGAUGACCGCGAGAUGAAUCUGGAUAGAGUGGCUAUGCGGCCAAUCAAUUUUUCCACAUGUUUCUUGCUGGUCAACACCUGAGGUAUUCCUUCAAUGUCUUUAAUUUGAUCUGGGUUGACCUCGAUGCCUCUUUGUGAUAUCAAGAAAUCGAGAAAUUUGCCUGAGGUUACGCUGCAGGCGCAUUUUUCGGUGUUUAGUUUCAUGUCAUACUGCCUUAGUAUACCAAAGUCUUCCUUCAGGUGAUCGAUGUGGUCUUCUUUUCUUUUUGAUUUAACCAGCAUGUCAUCGAUGUAGACUUCCAUUAUUUUGCCGAGUUGUUCUUUGAACAUCUCGGUGACCAACCUUUGGUAGGUUGCCCCUGCAUUUUUCAACCCAAACGACAUGACCCUGUAGCAGUAUGUUCCCUAAUAAGUGAUGAACGCAGUUUUCUCUUGGUCCUCUUCCUCCAUGAGGAUUUGGUUUUAGCCUGAGUAGGCGUCAAAGAAGCUUAGCAACUCGUGUCCUGCUAUGGCAUCGAUGAGCUGGUCGAUGUGCGUCAAUGGAAAGGAGUCUUUCGGGCACGCCUUAUUUAGGUUUGUGAAAUCUAUGCAUAUCCGCCAUUUUUUGUUUUUCUUUUUUACCAUGACAACGUUAGCGACCAUUAGGGGUAUUUUGAUUCUCGGAUGGAACCGUUGGCGAGGAGCUUCUCCACUUCAUCACUUAUGGCCUCGUUGAUUACGGCAUUGAAUUUCCUUCUUAUUUGUCGUACUGGAAAAUAAAGUGGGUCGACGUUCAACUUGUGUAUGGCCACGUCUUUCGAGAUGCCCUACAUAUCUGCAUGGGAGAAAGCAAACAAAUCAGUGUUGUCAAUUAAAAACUUGUGAAAUUUACCUAGUUUUGAGAGUUUAUGCCCGAUGUAAGCCUUUUUGUUGUUGUCGUUGUUGUUUAGUUGGACGGGAUCGACAUCUUCUACCAUUGAUUCGGCUGCUUCCAUGAUGUUAGGGUCCUUGAUGACAUCUGUUUUUAGGUUGAGCCCAAUC
rnacentral:lncRNA from 1 species